rnacentral:rRNA from 1 species
UACGUAGGGGGCUAGCGUUGUCCGGAAUCAUUGGGCGUAAAGCGCGUGUAGGCGGUCCGGUAAGUCCGCUGUGAAAGCCCGGGGCUUAACCCCGGGUCGGCAGUGGAUACGGGCAGGCUAGAGGUAGGUAGGGGAGAAUGGAAUUCCCGGUGUAGCGGUGAAAUGCGCAGAUAUCGGGAGGAACACCGGUGGCGAAGGCGGUUCUCUGGGCCUUACCUGACGCUGAGGAGCGAAAGCGUGGGGAGCGAACAGG